rnacentral:rRNA from 1 species
AACAUGUCUUAUAGAAUAUAAUUUUAAGUCUAAUCUGCUCCAUGAAAUUUUAAAUAGCUGCAGGAUUUUUACUGUACAAAGGUAGCAAAAUCAAUAGUUUUUUAAUUGAAAGCUGGUAUGAAGGAUUUAAUAAGGUAAAUAUUGUUUCGGAUUUAAUAAAUUUAUAAUUUUAUUUUUAGUUAAAAAUCUAAAUUGUUUUGGAAAGACGAGAAGACCCUAUAGAUUUUUAUAUUUAUUAAAUUAAUUAAAUUUAAAUUAAUAAAUAAUUUUUGAUUAAUAAAUAUUUGAUUGGGGAAAUUAUUAAAUUAGUAAAAUUUUAAUUAUUUAAAAACAAUAAUUAUUGAAUUUUUGAUAUUUUAAUAGAAUUAAAUACCUUAGGGAUAACAGCGUAAUUUUUUUUGAUAGGCCUAAUUGAUAAAAAAGUUUGCGACCUCGAUGUUGAAUUAAGAUAAAAUUUUAAUGUAGAAGUUAAAAAUUUUUGGUCUGUUCGACCAUUAAAAUCUUACGUGAU